GAUUUCUGGUGUGGUGCGCCGAGCCCGCCGCCGUCAGGCGGUGAGUGCUUGUUUCAGCGCGCCUACCAUCCUUCUGGAUAGUGCGUUCUACCCUUAACUGGGCCGGAGCGUGCCAUCUGGAUCGUUUACUUUGAAAAAAUUAGAGUGUUUAAAGCAGGCGUUUGGCUAUGAAUACAUUAGCAUGGAAUAAUAAGAUAGGACUUUGGUUCUAUUUUGUUGGUUUCUAGGACUGAAGUAAUGAUUGAUAGGGACAGUUGGGGGUGCUAGUAUUUAACGGCCAGAGGUGAAAUUCUUGGAUUCGUUAAAGACUAACUUAUGCGAAAGCAUU
rnacentral:rRNA from 1 species